AGUGAACGCUGGCGGUAGGCCUAACACAUGCAAGUCGAACGGCAGCACAGUAAGAGCUUGCUCUUAGGGGUGGCGAGUGGCGGACGGGUGAGGAAUACAUCGGAAUCUACUUUUUCGUGGGGGAUAACGUAGGGAAACUUACGCUAAUACCGCAUACGACCUACGGGUGAAGGCAGGGGAUCUUCGAACCUUGCGCGAUUGAAUGAGCCGAUGUCGGAUUAGUUAGUUGGCGGGGUAAAUGAGCACCAAGGCGACGAUCCGUAGCUGGUCUGAGAGGAACAUCCGCCACAUGGUAUCUGAGACACGUCCCAGACUCUUACGGGAGGCAGCAGUGGGGAAUCUUGCACGAGGGGCCAGUGCCUGAUCUAGCCCAACCGGGUGGGGGCAGAAGCACCUCUGCUGCGAAAGCCCUGUUGUUGUGAAAGAAAAGCAGCAGUUUCACCGCCCGCUGUUCUGACGGUACCCAAAGAAUAAGCCCCGGCUAACUUCGUG
rnacentral:rRNA from 1 species